GAUGAACGCUGGCGGCGUGACUAAUACAUGCAAGUCGAGCGAACGGACGAGAAGCUUUCUUCUCUGAUGUUAGCGCCGGACGGGUGAGUAACACGUGGAUAACCUACCUAUAAGACUGGGAUAACUUCGGGAAACCGGAUCUCAUACCGGAUAAUAUUUUGAACCGCAUGGUUCAAAAGUGAAAGACGGUCUUGCUGUCACUUAUAGAUGUAUCCGCGCUGCAUUAGCUAGUUGGUGAGGUAACGGCCUACCAAGGCAACGAUGCAUAGCCGACCUGAGAGGGUGAUCGGCCACACUGGAACUGAGACACGGUCCAGACUCCUACGGGAGGCAGCAGUAGGGAAUCUUCCGCAAUGGGCGAAAGCCUGACGGAGCAACGCCGCGUGAGUGAUGAAGGUCUUCGGAUCGUAAAACUCUGUUAUUAGGGAAGAACAUAUGUGUAAGUAACUGUGCACAUCUUGACGGUACCUAAUCAGAAAGCCACGGCUAACUACGUG
rnacentral:rRNA from 1 species